UUUGUCAAUUUCGCCAUUGACCGUUGGGAUCAGCCUCUAAGUCGGUUUGUGCUUUUUCUUUUUCAGCGAAACAGUCCCACUUGCUAGGCAGUAGGUGGCUGUGCGGGCGUGCUGACGAAGUGACGAUGGGGCGAUUCCCCCUGUAUCUCUCUCUCAAAGAAAAUCCCCCACGAGACAGCGACCUCCUCGGCUUCUCCAGCACGCGCUAUUGCGUCGUCACCCUUGAUACGGUGGCUUUCCUGCCUCGCGGCCGCUCCUCCGGCUUUCCUGCUUCUGUGCACCGUCGUUAUUCUCGUGGGCUUGCGGUACUGGCGGCAGAUGGGGGUGGCGGCUGGAUCUGGACAGCAAGGGCGGCAGAUUAAAGAGAGACAAAGAAGCCCUGGUCUAGAGAUGAUGCUCCUCAUCGCGCUGUCGAAGCACCAAGAACCACGUCCAGGUCAUGGGGCCGUUGAUGGGAGAUCGACAUCUUACCUGGGCACUGCUCCUGCACGCCGGCGUCAUGGCCAAGCAAGGCCUGCUGGUAAUUUCGUUCCCCUUUCAUAUUUGGGUCAGCAGCGGCUGCUUGAGGGUGUACAGUUCCAGAUGAUAGCCCUUUUCCCCUUAAUUUUUUGCACUAACCUCUUCUCUAUACUACAUGUGCUUCAUGGUGAAAAGCGAGGACAGCAAUUUGACAGUUAUAAUAUGUGUAGGUGCAUAUAUGAGUAGCUUUAUGAAAAAAGUAGAUGCAUAUAUAUGUAUUUCUUGGGCAAAUCUAUCUGUGUACAAAUAGAUGCAUAUAGCAUAUAAAGCUACUGAUAUAAGAAAUAGUUAUUGCCCCUUCAUGGAAAUUGGCUUCAGUGGCUACAUAAUUAUUUUCUCAUUGUGUUUUAGUUAACAUUUAUGCGAAUCACAGAAAAAAAAAGUGUAUGUAUCUGCAUAGUCGCCGGAUCCACACCACUGGUGACCAUGGCUUAGCAUAGGAACACCCCCGGAUCACACUCUUGCAACAGGUGGUUUAGUUCACAUGGCUUCAAUUUUGGCUAUGUGAUGAGGUCAUCCCCUUCUCUCCUUUUUGAGAAUUUUGAGUUCGAUUUUACAUUUAUUUCAGGUUAAGUAGUACUGAAUGAUGUAUUUUUGCAUGCUUUCUGCAGUCUAUGCAUGUUCGUGGUUAUACAGGUUGGAGCCUGCAACUGAUAAUAAGCUCAGUCUUAAUCUAUGCAUUGUUCUACAUGUUUGUUGGCAGAUAGAGAUAAAAAGGGAAAGUGAACAUAUGGUGAUUGAAUUUACUUCCUGCAUCUAUAGUAUUUUACACCAAUGCAACAUUUGUGAAAUCGAGAUAGUAUAUUUAUUUGCCACAUGUAUUGUGUUGCCCCUGAAUGUAAUACUGUUCGGUUAUAUCUUGGUAUUUACGUUAUCUGAAUCACUUCGUUUUGAUACGUGCAUUGCCAUUUUCAAAAGUAUAUCCAUUGUUCCUUCCUGGUGGUCAAGUGGCAAUGCAGAGCAUGCUGGUGAACUUUCAAACUCAUCUGCUUUCGUGUUGAUGAUAUGUAGACAAAAGAGCAAGACAUAGAGUAGUUAAUUUAGACCGAUGACUUUGUACGGGCAAUGCAAAGCUAGAAGUGAUCGAUAUGCUUCAGGAGGCAACGAAGCAGAUUGAAGGCCACACGAUCUGCGCCCUCAGGGAUGCUGCAGCAUGGCCUGUGCAGGGUCUUAUCAGGCACUUCAGGCCUGAGCUGGAAAGGAGGAUCCGCGAUCGAGUUGAUAACGAGCUGCUGAUGGCAGCUUCUGCAUGAGCACCACUUCUAUUUUCCUGAUUUUAUUCACAGAAAUAAUGCAAACUGGUGAACUCAUUUCUGUACAAGCAAAUGUAGGUUACCUUAUUGGUUUGAACCUUUUUAUGUCCAUGUUUAUUUGAUGCGCUGAUGAAGCCGGUGUACUUUGAUGGAGAAGUAGAAACGAAUAUGAAGGAUUGUACCCUGUAUGUUGCAUGAACCUGAUUUUCUUCCUCUUUAAUUUUGUAGAGAAUGACUUGCUUCUAAA